rnacentral:rRNA from 1 species
CAUGCAAGUCGAACGGAAAGGCCUUUCGGGGUACUCGAGUGGCGAACGGGUGAGUAACACGUGGGUGAUCUGCCCUGCACUUUGGGAUAAGCCUGGGAAACUGGGUCUAAUACCGGAUAGGACCGCGCUCUUCAUGGGGUGUGGUGGAAAGCUUUUGCGGUGUGGGAUGGGCCCGCGGCCUAUCAGCUUGUUGGUGGGGUAAUGGCCUACCAAGGCGACGACGGGUAGCCGGCCUGAGAGGGUGACCGGCCACACUGGGACUGAGAUACGGCCCAGACUCCUACGGGAGGCAGCAGUGGGGAAUAUUGCACAAUGGGCGCAAGCCUGAUGCAGCGACGCCGCGUGAGGGAUGACGGCCUUCGGGUUGUAAACCUCUUUCGCUCACGACGAAGCGCAAGUGACGGUAGUGAGAGAAGAAGGACCGGCCAACUACGUGCCAGCAGCCGCGGUAAUACGUAGGGUCCGAGCGUUGUCCGGAAUUACUGGGCGUAAGGAGCUCGUAGGUGGUUUGUCGCGUUGUUCGUGAAAACUCACA